GUGCCACUGGUGGACCCGAUGGACCCAGCCGCGACCGCCAUUUUGGGGUCUUCCCUAAGGAUCUCCUACCGGCUUUUCGUGCCGCAGCCACCGCUCCCCGCGGCCUUGCCGGGCAGGAUGAAUGUGAUAGACCACGUGCGAGACAUGGCGGCCGCGGGGCUGCACUCCAACGUGCGGCUCCUCAGCAGCUUGUUACUUACAAUGAGUAAUAACAACCCUGAGUUAUUCUCCCCAUCUCAGAAGUACCAGCUUUUGGUGUAUCAUGCAGAUUCUCUCUUUCAUGAUAAGGAAUAUCGGAAUGCUGUGAGCAAGUAUACCAUGGCUUUACAGCAGAAGAAAGCCUUAAGUAAAACUUCAAAAGUGAGACCUUCAACUGGCAAUUCUACAUCCACUCCACAGAGUCAGUGUCUUCCAUCUGAAAUUGAAGUGAAAUACAAAAUGGCUGAAUGUUACACAAUGCUAAAACAAGAUAAAGAUGCCAUUGCUAUACUUGAUGGGAUCCCUUCAAGACAAAGAACCCCCAAAAUAAACAUGAUGCUGGCAAAUUUGUAUAAGAAGGCUGGUCAGGAGCGCCCUUCAGUCACCAGCUAUAAGGAAGUGCUGAGGCAGUGCCCAUUAGCCCUUGAUGCCAUUCUAGGUUUGCUGUCCCUAUCUGUAAAAGGUGCAGAGGUGGCAUCAAUGACAAUGAAUGUCAUCCAGACCGUGCCUAACUUGGACUGGCUGUCUGUGUGGAUCAAAGCAUAUGCUUUUGUGCAUACUGGUGACAACUCAAGAGCAAUCAAUACCAUCUGUUCACUAGAGAAAAAGUCAUUAUUACGAGAUAACGUGGAUCUACUGGGAAGCUUAGCAGAUCUGUACUUCAGAGCUGGAGACAAUAAAAACUCUGUCCUCAAAUUUGAACAAGCACAGAUGUUGGAUCCUUAUCUAAUAAAAGGAAUGGAUGUAUAUGGCUACCUCCUGGCACGAGAAGGGCGGCUGGAGGAUGUGGAGAAUCUUGGCUGCCGCCUUUUCAAUAUUUCUGAUCAGCAUGCAGAACCCUGGGUGGUCUCUGGGUGUCAUAGCUUCUAUAGCAAACGCUACUCUCGGGCCCUCUAUUUAGGAGCAAAGGCCAUUCAGCUGAACAGUAAUAGUGUCCAAGCUUUGCUACUUAAGGGAGCAGCACUCAGGAACAUGGGCAGAGUCCAAGAAGCAAUAAUCCACUUUCGGGAGGCUAUACGGCUUGCACCUUGUCGCUUAGACUGUUAUGAAGGUCUCAUCGAAUGUUACUUAGCCUCAAACAGUAUUCGUGAAGCAAUGGUAAUGGCUAACAAUGUUUACAAAACUCUAGGAGCAAAUGCACAGACUCUUACCCUUUUAGCCACUGUUUGUCUCGAAGACCCAGUGACACAGGAAAAAGCCAAAACUUUAUUAGAUAAAGCCCUGAACCAAAGGCCGGAUUACAUUAAGGCUGUGGUGAAAAAAGCAGAACUACUUAGCAGAGAGCAGAAAUACGAAGAUGGGAUUGCUUUGCUGAGGAACGCACUAGCUAAUCAGAGUGACUGUGUCCUGCAUCGGAUCCUAGGAGAUUUCCUUGUAGCUGUCAAUGAGUAUCAGGAAGCAAUGGACCAGUAUAGUAUAGCACUAAGGUUCCAGGUGGAAGAGGCAAAUGAAGCUACAUCUUUAGAGCACCUGACAUAGAAUUGGGAAUACUCUUAGUCCACAUCAAAGAAUGGAAAGAGUUUGACCUGGAGAGUGCUGAAGAUCUCAACUGGUAUUUCCUGGUCCAAAUAUUAAGAAACCUAAGAGUGGGUUGGAGGGUCCCAGAAGCUGCGAGCCUGACUUCAAAGGGCUCCUGGAGGCCUCACUGCAGCUCCCUGUGGGUGGGAACAACUCCCAUGACCAGUCUCGGGCCCAUGCCCAGGCCAGCUCGGCCAGCUCCAAAGCUGCAAAACUGCCUGCUGCCCAGGACCGAAUUCUCUGCUAACAGGCAGUGAAACCUGACUCAACAAAUCUUCACCUUGGCCUUUGGGGGCAGGGGUCACAUCAGGCCCGCCAGGAAUACCUGGCAUUGGGAGGGCCUGUAGAGGACCCCAUCCAGUAUAGUGUUACAUCAGUCACUGCGUGUCCUUAGGCUCCUCUUGGCUGUGAGUUGCUGAUUUUCCUUGUUUUUGAUGACUCGUCGGUUGUUAAGGAAUGUGUCAGGUAGGAGUGGACCUGCUGCUGGGUUGUAUAUGAAGAGCAGCUGUAAAUUCACCCAGUUGUUCUGCAAUGUGAGGGCCCAUUCUCCACACCUUAGGUAAGAUGUCAGUUCCCCUUCUCCCCCGAAUUAAACUUUCCUAAGAACCAGAUGUUCCUUCUAAUGGAUCCGAUAUAUGACAGUUGCUUUUUUGUUUACUCCUAGGCAUUUUCCCUCGUCUGAUGGCUAUGACUCUCCAGAACAGUGCUAGGUAGUGGGCAGUGGUGGAUGAACGAGCUGCUGGAGUGGUGCCCCAGGGACGGGAUUGUCAUCUUCUGGGCAAAGCUGUAUCCGAAAGGCCAGGUGAGCAUGGAGUGCUAAAAAGCAGAACACUCUAAUGGGAUGGGCCACAGGCCCAUAGGGAAAGUGUUUCAGGCAGGAGCUGCCUGGCAACACCUGCACGGUGGGGCUGAGGAGGAUGCUGCCCCAACCAGUUACUGAUGGCGGCAAAAGCACUGCCUUCCUGUUCGGUGAGGAGGGGACUGGGUGGCUGCCGCUCACUGCAGGAUGGAAAUCUGAGGCCAUGGGUGUGCCCACAGAAAGACAAUUGCUGAGGAGGCCUGCUGUGGAGCAGACACAGGGACUCAGCUGUCUGGGUUGAAGGAAGUGGGUGCCUAAACCACCUCCGUGGGCUGGAUAGGCCUGAAGCUGAGAAACUACCAGGCAACACCAGCCCAGGGCCAUCUGGGGCUGUGCAUGUCUCCCAUAGCAGCCCACAGCAUUCAACUUAUUUUGUAAAGGCCACUAAAUCAAGGAACUGAGUCAGUGAAAGUUGACUGGUUAGUUUGGUUUCCAUUGAAUAACACACCACCGAACAAACUCAGACAUCCUGUUUUGGUUUGUAGCCAAGACAUACUCCUGGCAUUUGAUCCACUCGGCCCUUUUCUUUUUACCACUCAUGAUGCUAAAAUGGGCAAAACUACCCCCUACAUUAUUUGCCAAGCAAACCAACCUCCCUUUUCUCUGAGAAAGGACUCUGCAUUCAGUCAGUCUCCACCAAGCACUUGACCUCCUGACACUCAGACCUCUGGAUUUGGCAGCAGCACCUCCUCAUCCUGCCUGAUACCUGCUAACUUUCCCCCCAAACGGCCAGCCCUUGUAUCACAUCUUCUGGUCCAGCAACCAGGGCCCAAACACCUUCACAAGAACACUCAGGGCCUCACAGGGAGGAAGCUGCCAACCCACCGAACACAAGGUGCUUCCUAGGCCUCCUUCACCCUGGCUGAUAAGGCUGGUUGACUGCUGCCAAGCAGAGCCCUGCCCUAAUGACUGUGCUUGAAUGUACCCUGCAGAGAGAAGACAAGUCUCAGCUGCAAAGGAUGUGGACCCAGAAGAUGAAGAAAAGUGGUCUAUUUAAGAGGAACCUACGGAUACGUGAGUUCACUGAUUCAGUUACUUGCUUUCACUAGCUUUUUAAUGAACCAAACUUCUGGGAUGAGUCCUUGCAGCUAACAAAGAUCAAAAGAAUCACGAUUUUUUGUGAACCUUCUCUCAGCACUAGCAAAGGCACAGCUCCCUCACAAAGCCUCGGUCUCACCAAAUCAGAAUGGGCCUCUCUUCCUCCAGGCCCUCCCCAAACCAGUAUCUGGCUAUGCCACUAUCUGAGGCCGCUGGCACGGGUAGCACACAUAUGCCCCCUGCUCUCAGGGACAGCCACAGAGCACAGCAGUGCCUGACACAUGGGGCUUAUUCACUAGUGUCACACAGCUAGCUCACUUGGUGGUAGUCAUCUUCAGGUUAAAGCAUCUGAAUUCCAGGGAAUACUCACGUUAGUUGAUGGAUGUUGGAAGGCAUUGGAGGAAAACACCACAGUUAGGGCUGUUAAUGACUUAUACACUGUUGGUAAGACUGAUCUGGAACAUGCAUCAUAGUACGGUGGUGGUGGUUAGUGCCACAUUCAAAUAAAAAUAGUUCUAUACAAUA